UACGGAGGGUGCGAGCGUUGUUCGGAAUCACUGGGCGUAAAGGGCGUGUAGGCGGUCUGUUAAGUCUGAUGUGAAAAGCCCGGGGCUCACCCCCCGGAAGUGCAUUGGAUACUGGCGGACUCGAGUCUCGGAGAGGAGGGUGGGAAUUCCUGGUGUAGCGGUGAAAUGCGUAGAUAUCAGGAGGAACACCGGUGGCGAAGGCGGGUCUCUGGGCCGAUAUUGACGCUGAGGAGCGAAAGCGUGGGGAGCAAACAGG
rnacentral:rRNA from 1 species